GCUCGUGCAGCGCGCCUGGCCAGCGAGCGCAUGCGUCAUAGGCUCCCUAUGUUACAAUCGAGGCGUGUUUUGGCACCUGCUGGCCACGUGUGCUGAAACCCGUUCCUCUGCAAAUGUAUAAAUACCAGGAUUUUUCCGAAGAGCAUUGGGCUGGUGUACGGCGAGGCCACCGUUGCCUCCGUGGGGACGCCCAUGUAAAGCUGACACCUACUGAUUGCUGGGCUGAGCUCGCAGCGCAAGAUGACACAAGAAUGUAUGGAUGGUCCAUCUUCCUCACAGUCCUCGGGUCGGUAUUUUCUAUCCCUGGCACG